rnacentral:rRNA from 1 species
AGUGAACGCUGGCGGUAGGCCUAACACAUGCAAGUCGAACGGCAGCACAGUAAGAGCUUGCUCUUACGGGUGGCGAGUGGCGGGCGGGUGAGGAAUACAUCGGAAUCUACUUUUUCGUGGGGGAUAACGUAGGGAAACUUACGCUAAUACCGCAUACGACCUACGGGUGAAAGCAGGGGAUCUUCGGACCUUGCGCGAUUGAAUGAGCCGAUGUCGGAUUAGCUAGUUGGCGGGGUAAAGGCCCACCAAGGCGACGAUCCGUAGCUGGUCUGAGAGGAUGAUCAGCCACACUGGAACUGAGACACGGUCCAGACUCCUACGGGAGGCAGCAGUGGGGAAUAUUGGACAAUGGGCGCAAGCCUGAUCCAGCCAUACCGCGUGGGUGAAGAAGGCCUUCGGGUUGUAAAGCCCUUUUGUUGGGAAAGAAAAGCAGCAGGUUAAUACCCCGCUGUUCUGACGGUACCCAAAGAUUAAGCACCGGCUAACUUCGUG